GAGUUUGAUCCUGGCUCAGAAUCAACGCUGGCGGCGUGCCUCAGACAUGCAAGUCGAACGCGAAAGUUUCCUUCGGGGGGCAAGUAGAGUGGCGCACGGGUGAGUAACACGUAGGUAAUCUACCUUCGGAUGGGGAAUAACAACCGGAAACGGUUGCUAAUACCGCGUAAUGCAGCGGCACCUAAUGGUGACAGUUGUUAAAGCGGGGGAUCGAAAGACCUCGCGUCUGAAGAGGAGCCUGCGGCGGAUUAGCUAGUUGGUAAGGUAAUGGCUUACCAAGGCGACGAUCCGUAACCGGCCUGAGAGGGCGGUCGGUCACACUGACACUGACAUACGGGUCAGACUCCUACGGGAGGCAGCAGUCGGGAAUUUUGGGCAAUGGGCGAAAGCCUGACCCAGCAACGCCGCGUGAAGGAUGAAAUCCCUCGGGAUGUAAACUUCGCAAGAACGGGAAGAAUAAGUAGGGGACAAUACCCCCUAUGAUGACGGUACCGUUUGUAAGCUCCGGCUAACUCCGUGCCAGCAGCCGCGGUAAUACGGGGGGAGCAAGCGUUGUUCGGAUUUACUGGGCGUAAAGGGCGCGUAGGCGGCCAGCACAAGUCAGUUGUGAAAUCUCCGAGCUUAACUCGGAAAGGUUAACUGGUACUGUGCGGCUAGAGUGCGGAAGGGGCAACUGGAAUUCUUGGUGUAGCGGUGAAAUGCGUAGAUAUCAAGAGGAACACCUGCGGCGA
rnacentral:rRNA from 1 species